rnacentral:rRNA from 1 species
UACGAAGGGGGCUAGCGUUGCUCGGAAUCACUGGGCGUAAAGCGCACGUAGGCGGCUUUCUAAGUCAGGGGUGAAAUCCUGGAGCUCAACUCCAGAACUGCCUUUGACACUGGAGAGCUUGAGUCCGGAAGAGGUGAGUGGAACUCCGAGUGUAGAGGUGAAAUUCGUAGAUAUUCGGAAGAACACCAGUGGCGAAGGCGGCUCACUGGUCCGGUACUGACGCUGAGGUGCGAAAGCGUGGGGAGCAAACAGGG